AUCGCUUCUCAGCCUUUUGGCUAAGAUCAAAGCGUAGUAUCUGUUCUUAUCAGCUUAAUAUCUGAUAUGGUCCCUAUUUGGGACCAUCGACAUUAAACUGAGUUUUAGAAUGAGGUGAAGAGUUAGGGGCUUGCUCCACCUUUGCACAGUAGAGGUGCAAUAGCCCAG
rnacentral:snRNA from 1 species